UUCUGUUUGAUCCCGGCGGAAGCUACUGCUAUUGGGAUUCGAUUAAGCCAUGCGAGUUGAAUGAAUUUAGAUUCAUGGCGUACGGCUCAGUAACACGUGGAUAACUUACCCUUAGGACUGGGAUAACUCUGGGAAACUGGGGAUAAUACCGGAUAUUAGGCUAUGGCUGGAAUGCUUUGCCUUUGAAAUGUUUCUUGUAUUCGCCUAAGGAUAGAUCUGCGGCUGAUUAGGUCGUUGGUGGGGUAAUGGCCCACCAAGCCUAUGAUCGGUACGGGUUGUGAGAGCAAGAGCCCGGAGAUGGAACCCGAGACAAGGUUCCAGACCCUACGGGGUGCAGCAGGCGCGAAACCUCCGCAAUGUACGAAAGUGCGACGGGGGGAUCCCAAGUGUUAUUCUUAAUAGGAUAACUUUUCAUUAGUGUAAAAAGCUUUUAGAAUAAGAGCUGGGCAAGACCGGUGCCAGCCGCCGCGGUAACACCGGCAGCUCAAGUGGUAGCUGUUUUUAUUGGGCCUAAAGCGUUCGUAGCCGGUUUGAUAAGUCUUUGGUGAAAGCUUAUGGCUGAACUGUAAGAAUUGCUGAAGAUACUGUCAGACUUGAAGUCGGGAGAAGUUAGAGGUACUACCGGGGUAGGGGUGAAAUCCUAUAAUCCUGGGAGGACCACCUGUGGCGAAGGCGUCUAACUGGAACGAUCUUGACGGUGAGGUACGAAGGCCAGGGGCGCGGACCGGAUUAAUACCCCGGUAGUCCUGGCCGUAACCAUGUGGACUUGGGGUUGGAAUGGCUCCAGUUGUUCCAUGGCCAAAGGUAACUGUUAAUCCACCCCCGGGAA
rnacentral:rRNA from 1 species